AUUGAACGCUGGCGGCAGGCCUAACACAUGCAAGUCGAACGAGUGGCGGACGGGUGAGUAAUGUAUGGGGAACUGCCCGAUAGAGGGGGAUAACUACUGGAAACGGUGGAUAAUACCGCAUACUAUCGGAUGAACCCAGAUGGGAUGAGCUAGUAGGUGGGGUAAAGGCUCACCUAGGCGACGAUCUCUAGCGGGUCUGAGAGGAUGAUCAGCCACAUGGGAACUGAGAAACGGCCCAGACUCCUACGGUAGGCAGCAGGGGGGAAUAUUGCACAAUGGGCGCAAGCCUGAUGCAGCCAUGCCGCGUUUAUGAAGAAGGCCUUAGGGUUGUAAAGUACUUUCAGCGGGGAGGCGUUACCCGCAGAAGAAGCACCGGCUAACUCCGUGCCAGCAGCCGCGGUAAUAC
rnacentral:rRNA from 1 species